AUAAUACUAGAAAGAACAUACGUUUUCUCUCUACUUAUUGGUUAAUUUGUACCCAUUUAGUUAUCUUUAGCACAUAUUUUAGCAUUUUUAGUUCAGUAAAUUGCAUUUUAUAACUCAGUGGAUCUUAGCCUAUUUAUCCUUAAUUUUGUCAUGUUUUGGUACCAAUGACGCUACAUGAGUAUUUUCAAAUUGCGCCAAGAAUUGUUGCCACACCUGACAGCUAUUGGGAUAAUAACAAAAAGGCGUGAGCUAUCUAGUCUGGUAUUGAGUCAUUAUAGCAUUGUCCGUGGCGAAUUGUGGAGUAGUGAACUAUCUUGUUAGAAUCUGC
rnacentral:lncRNA from 1 species